rnacentral:rRNA from 1 species
CCUACGGGAGGCAGCAGUAGGGAAUCUUCGGCAAUGGACGCAAGCCUGACGCAGCAACGCCGCGUGAAUGAAGAAGGCUUUCGGAUUGUAAACUUCUUUUGACAGGGAAGAGCAUGAGACAGUACCUGUCUAAUCAUCCAGGGCUAACUAAGUUACAGCAGCCGCGGUAAUACGUAGGUGGCAAGCGUGGUCUGGAUUUACUGGGAGUAAAGGGCGGGUAGACGGGGGCACAAGUCAGAUGUGAAAUCCGGGGGCUCAACCCCGGAACUGCAUUUGAAACUGUUGGUCUGGAGUACAGGAGAGGCAGGCGGAAUUCCUAGUGUAGCGGUGAAAUGCGUAGAUAUUAGGAGGAACACCAGUGGCGAAGGCGGCCUGCUGGACGACAACUGACGGUGAGGCGCGAAAGCGUGGGGAGCAAACAGGAUUAGAUACCCGAGUAGUC